AAUCAACGCUGGCGGCGUGCCUCAGACAUGCAAGUCGAACGAGAAAGUUUCCUUCGGGAGACGAGUACAGUGGCGUCCGGGUGAGUAACACGUGGGUAAUUUACCUUGGGUGGGGAAUAGCAGCCGGAAACGGCUAUUAAUACCGCAUAAUGCAGGCGGCUCGACAUCGAGACAGUUGUUAAAGCGGGGAUCUGACAAGGACCUCGCGCCUAAAGAGAAGCCUGCGUCAGAUUAGCUAGUUGGUAGGGUAAAUGGCCUACCAAGGCUGUGAUCUGUAGCCGGCCUGAGAGGGCGGUC
rnacentral:rRNA from 1 species